rnacentral:rRNA from 1 species
CACACCGCCCGUCACACCAUGGGAGUGGGUUGCACCAGAAGAAGGUAGGCUAACCGCAAGGAGGCCGCUUUCCACGGUGUGAUUCAUGACUGGGGGUG